rnacentral:rRNA from 1 species
UACAGAGGAGCCAAGCGUUGUCCGGAUUGACUGGGCGUAAAGCGCACGCAGGCGGUCGUGCGCGUGGGGUGUGAAAUCUGGCCGCUUAACGGCCAGGCGCCAUCCCAUACGGCACGACUGGAGGGCUGCAGGGGUCGAUGGAAUUGCCGGUGUAGUGGUGAAAUGCGUAGAGAUCGGCAGGAACACCCAGGGGGAAACCAGUCGACUGGGCAGCACCUGACGCUGAGGUGCGAGAGCGUGGGGAGCGAACCGG